UACAGAGGGGGCAAGCGUUAUUCGGAAUCAUUGGGCGUAAAGAGCGUGUAGGCGGCCUGAUAAGUCGGCUGUGAAAGUCAAGGGCUCAACCCUUGAAUGCCGGCCGAUACUGUCAGGCUAGAAUCCGGAAGAGGCGAGUGGAAUUCCUGGUGUAGCGGUGAAAUGCGCAGAUAUCAGGAGGAACACCUAUGGCGAAGGCAGCUCGCUGGGACGGUAUUGACGCUGAGGAGCGAAAGCCAGGGGAGCAAACGGG
rnacentral:rRNA from 1 species